UACGUAGGGUGCGAGCGUUAAUCGGAAUUACUGGGCGUAAAGCGUGCGCAGGCGGUGAUGUAAGACCGAUGUGAAAUCCCCGGGCUUAACCUGGGAACUGCAUUCGAGACUGCAUUGCUGGAGUACGGAAGAGGAAGGCGGAAUUCCCGGUGUAGCGGUGAAAUGCGUAGAUAUCGGGAGGAACAUCAGUGGCGAAGGCGGGUCUCUGGGCAAUAACUGACGCUGAGGAGCGAAAGCGUGGGGAGCGAACAGG
rnacentral:rRNA from 1 species